rnacentral:rRNA from 1 species
GAUGAACGCUGGCGGUAUGCUUAACACAUGCAAGUCGAACGGUCACUUCGGUGAUAGUGGCGGACGGGUGAGUAACGCGUGAGAAUCUGUCUUCAGGUCGGGGACAACAGUUAGAAGUGACUGCUAAUACCGGAUGUGCCUUUGGGUGAAAGAUUUAUUGCCUGAAAAAGAGCUCGCGUCAGAUUAGCUAGUAGGUGGUGUAAGAGACUACCUAGGCUCCGAUCUGUAGCUGGUCUGAGAGGACGAUCAGCCACACUGGAACUGAGACACGGUCCAGACUCCUACGGGAGGCAGCAGUGGGGAAUUUUCCGCAAUGGGCGAAAGCCUGACGGAGCAAUACCGCGUGAGGGACGAAGGCUUUUGGGUCGUAAACCUCUUUUCUCAAGGAAGAUGAUGACGGUACUUGAGGAAUAAGCAUCGGCUAACUCUGUG